CUGAAGAAAUCUAUCUGCCUUCAAGUUAACUUUUCUCAGAAGGUUCACUGACUGUUUUCAGGCCAGAACAUCAAUGGGCAUUAGGCCCUCAUCAGUAUCCCCAUUCCAUUUGGGCCUGAUACUUCAUCUGAUUAAUUACAUUAUCUCUUCUUAUUAUUUCAUUUUGAUGCCAGUUCCUAGCUAUAACAAUCUUUGCUGCUAAUAGCC